rnacentral:rRNA from 1 species
ACUCCUACGGGGGGCAGCAGUGGGGAAUAUUGGGCAAUGGGCGCAAGCCUGACCCAGCAACGCCGCGUGAAGGAAGAAGGCUUUCGGGUUGUAAACUUCUUUUCUCAGGGACGAAGCAAGUGACGGUACCUGAGGCAUAAGCCACGGCUAACUACGUGCCAGCAGCCGCGGUAAUACGUAGGUGGCAAGCGUUAUCCGGAUUUACUGGGUGUAACGGGCGUGUAGGCGGAACU